UAUGAGUGACUUCCUCACGCACGCUGUUAUUGUAACUGAACCACUGAGGACCAGGAAUGGUUAUUAAAAGUGGACCCACAAUGAUUAUGAUGACAGUACAGUACUGCCACUUUUUAAAGGGCUGCACCAGCAAGUAGGCCUGAGGCAACUUCUCAACCUGUGAACAAUAGGAAGUCAGUCAAAGCUAAGAAAAGAAAAGCCCAGCAAGGGAAAAGCAAGCAAGGCGAAGGGAGACUUAUUGCGCAGCUGAGAGAAUAGACAACUACGACCCCAAAAACAACACGUAUUACAUAAAGUGGCAAGGAUAUGAUGCGUCCCACAACUCAUGGGUGAAAGCGGAAGACGUAACUUCUCCUCUCAUCUCUUCUUACAAAGAAAAAUUAGGUUCAGGAACGCACAAGAAGUGAUGCACCUCAUGUCUUAGCCCUUUCGAUUGUUGAAAAAAUUUAUGUGAAUUUGUGCAAAUCCUCCCACCUGUGUUUUUUUGUUCAGUGGAAUUCACGUAUUUCGGUAUUCCUUCUUCACCUCCACGCAUUAUUCAUUCUGACAUAAACUCACAUGAUCACUUUUGAUGAAAGAUUACAUAAUGGAUAAUAUUGA